rnacentral:tRNA from 1 species
GGGCAUGUAGCUCAGCUGGUUAGAGCUCCGAGCUUAUACCUCGGCGGUCCCUGGUUCGAAUCCAGGCAUGCCCA